UGGGGACUCCCCUGUAAGGUGCUGGGUUAGAUUAGAAGGAGGAGUGAGUGGGAAGUUGGUGGGACACUUCCAGUUCCAAGUUUAUAAUUCAUUCCAUUGCUUUUCUGAUUGUGUUUUCACUUUUAAAAUCUCGCU
rnacentral:miRNA from 1 species